UACGUAGGGGGCAAGCGUUGUCCGGAAUCAUUGGGCGUAAAGAGCGUGUAGGCGGCUCGAUAAGUCCGCUCUGAAAGCCCGGGGCUCAACCCCGGGAGGCGGGCGGAAACUGUCGGGCUAGAGUCCGGAAGAGGCGAGUGGAAUUCCCGGUGUAGCGGUGAAAUGCGCAGAUAUCGGGAAGAACACCCGUGGCGAAGGCGGCACUCUGGGACGGUACUGACGCUGAGACGCGAAAGCGUGGGGAGCGAACAGG
rnacentral:rRNA from 1 species